rnacentral:rRNA from 1 species
UUUACUGAUUCCUCCUUCUUGACGAACCGUGAUGUCAUUAAUUUGGUGUUGCGGGAAAUCAGGACUGUUACUUUGAAAAAAUUAGAGUGUUUAAAGCAGGCUAACGCUUGAAUACAUUAGCAUGGAAUAAUGAAAUAGGACGUUAAUCCUAUUUUGUUGGUUUCUAGGAUCGACGUAAUGAUUAAUAGGGAUAGUUGGGGGCAUUAGUAUUCAAUUGUCAGAGGUGAAAUUCUUGGAUUUAUUGAAGACUAACUACUGCGAAAGCAUUUGCCAAGGAUGUUUUCAUUAAUCAAGAACGAAAGUUAGGGGAUCGAAGACGAUCAGAUACCGUCGUAGUCUUAACCAUAAACUAUGCCGACUAGGGAUCGGAUGAUGUUAAUUCUUUAAUGACUCAUUCGGCGCCUUACG